ensembl:rRNA 5S_rRNA 5S ribosomal RNA
CCUGUCUGGGGCCAUACUACCCUGAACACGCCCUAUCUCAACUGAUCUCGGAAGCUAAGCAGGGUUGGACCUGCUUGGUACUUCGAUGGGAAGGAGCCCUACCGAACAUCAGGGUUCAGACGGGA